rnacentral:rRNA from 1 species
UACGUAGGGGGCUAGCGUUGUCCGGAAUCAUUGGGCGUAAAGCGCGUGUAGGCGGUCCGAUAAGUCCGCUGUGAAAGUCGAGGGCUCAACCCUCGAAUGCCGGUGGAUACUGUCGGGCUUGAGUACGGGAGAGGCGAGUGGAAUUCCUGGUGUAGCGGUGAAAUGCGCAGAUAUCAGGAGGAACACCGAUUGCGAAGGCAGCUCGCUGGAACGUUACUGACGCUGAGACGCGAAAGCGUGGGGAGCAAACAGG